AACGAACGCUGGCGGCAUGCCUAACACAUGCAAGUCGAACGAGACCUUCGGGUCUAGUGGCGCACGGGUGCGUAACGCGUGGGAACCUGCCCUUAGGUUCGGAAUAACUCCCCGAAAGGGGUGCUAAUACCGGAUAAUGUCUUCGGACCAAAGAUUUAUCGCCCUUGGAUGGGCCCGCGUUGGAUUAGCUAGUUGGUAGGGUAAAAGCCUACCAAGGCGACGAUCCAUAGCUGGUCUGAGAGGAUGAUCAGCCACACUGGGACUGAGACACGGCCCAGACUCCUACAGGAGGCAGCAGUGGGGAAUAUUGGACAAUGGGCGAAAGCCUGAUCCAGCAAUGCCGCGUGAGUGAUGAAGGCCUUAGAGUUGUAAAGCUCUUUUACCCGGGAUGAUAAUGACAGUACCGGGAGAAUAAGCUCCGGCUAACUCCGUG
rnacentral:rRNA from 1 species